rnacentral:rRNA from 1 species
AACUUUCAACAACGGAUCUCUUGGUUCUGGCAUCGAUGAAGAACGCAGCAAUC